UACGGAGGGUGCAAGCGUUAAUCGGAAUUACUGGGCGUAAAGCGCACGCAGGUGGCUGAGUCAGUCGAUUGUGAAAGCCCUGGGCUUAACCUGGGAAUUGCAGUCGAUACUACUCAGCUAGAGUAUGGGAGAGGGCAGUGGGAAUUCCCGGUGUAGCGGUGAAAUGCGCAGAUAUCGGGAAGAACACCCGUGGCGAAGGCGGCUCUCUGGGACGGUACUGGACGCUGAGGAGCGAAAAGCGUGGGGAGCGAACAGG
rnacentral:rRNA from 1 species